ensembl:lncRNA
AGCGUCCUAGGUUGUUUCGUCCUGAUUGCCUGCACCCCAGCAGCCUCGGAGCGGAACUGCUGUCUGACAACAUCUCCAAGACGCUACACUCCAAGUGACUGUCUACCUCAAUGGUGCAACAAGGUAUCUGGACUAGAUGACCUAUCUGGCCUUUGAUUGGGCCUACUGCAUCUUCUGAUGGAGAUGUAAAACGAAGUGCGUGAGUUUAAAAGACCCGUGUGUUCCUGUAGUUGUUGGCAGCUCAGCGGGCGAGACGUGUGGCUCUGAUCGCUCGGAUCAAUAGUCUAAGGCUGGAAGUUCAGUAGGUCGAGAAGGAGGACAGGGUGAAGGAAAUGCGCCAUACCGUGGCGUAGGGCACGGCCAACAGGCUGCAGCUCCAGACCCGGCGGUGUUGAGAGGAUAGUGUGGAGGAUACGUUUGGCUCGGAUCAGGAGGAUCCUUAGGCUCUUGCCGGAGUUUCUGCGCAUGUGGUUCAUUACGCACCGGUUUCACUGAUUGCAUUUAAUGUGCAGCCGAGAUGGAGGACAUGGUGACGGAAGGUUAGCUGCAUGAUGGCAGGCUGAUGGCCGAUCAGAAGAAGGAGGAGGUGGAAGACAGGAGAUGAAUUUUUUGUUGAUGUGGUUAAAUAAAAAGUACUUGAGUAAAAUAUUUGGCUUCAAAUAUCAAAUAUUUAAUUAUUUUACUCAGUAAAACACACAUACAUAAAACACACACAGAGACACACAAGCACAAAGACACACACACACACACACACACACACACACACAAAAAAACAGUUGUUCCCUCAUCAUCCCUCUCUUUAUUCCCGCUCUUAAUUCCCUCUUAAUUCUCUCUCUCUAUCCCCUCUCUCUUUAUUCUCUCUUUAUUCCCUCUCUUUAUUCUCUCUCUCUCUCGUGUAUGUAUUUAAUAAUUAUAUUUUUAAACAGGUAACUUAAAUUUAGUGUCUCUCAUUCUGUCAAUGUAGAUGAGCAGGAAACAACCUACCAUGAUAGAUUAAUUUUCUUGGCAGAUGUUUGUGAAUGACAAGGUGUCUUAAAACCUGUAAAUGGAAUUCCUGUGACACUGUAAGUCCAUGUCAGUCAGGUAACUACUGCUAUGGAAAUUUCUGCUGGAUAGGCUUAACUCUUUUACCAGAGGCAAAAAAAUGGAACUGACUUAAAGAUUUUUUUUACGACUCUCUAAUGUCAAUACAGAAUAAUCCUAAAGCUGUUAAGUCUGUUAAAAAGGAUACUUGAUGUGUUAGAUGUAUGAUUGAUUUUUGAUAUAAGAUACAGAAUUUUGAUUUUACUGUCUUAUAGAUUCAAGUGUCUUUGUACGACUUUGUAUUCCCCUACUGUUGUUUCAUUAAUAAUAAAAAAAUUUCCAAUAGAUGCUUUAAACAAU